UACGUAGGGGGCUAGCGUUGUCCGGAAUCAUUGGGCGUAAAGAGCGUGUAGGCGGCCCGGUAAGUCCGCUGUAAAAGUCAAAGGCUCAACCUUUGAAUGUCAGUGGAUACUGCCGGGCUAGAGUCCGGAAGAGGCGAGUGGAAUUCCUGGUGUAGCGGUGAAAUGCGCAGAUAUCAGGAGGAACACCAAUUGCGAAGGCAGCUCGCUGGGACGUAACUGACGCUGAGACGCGAAAGCGUGGGGAGCAAACAGG
rnacentral:rRNA from 2 species